GGGGCGUUAGCUCAGUUGGUUCAGAGCGUUGCAUUCACACUGCAAAGGUCACUGGUUCGAAUCCAGUACGCCCCA
rnacentral:tRNA from 1 species